ACAGACUCCAUCCAGUGUCCUAGGCAGGAAGUAGUCUGCACGGAGUACUGGGAGUAUGUGUUCGUUUGUGAGAGUGGGGUCCCCCAAACCUUUGCAAACUUCAGCUUCUCCGUUAGAGAUGAGUUCCCUGAGAAGGACGAGAGCACCUGAAAUCUCGGAACUUGGACUCACCCCAGAGCAAAAGGACGAUAUAAGAGACAGGGUACUUAGGGGGUCAAAAUCUCCCACGGAGCUGGGGUUUGACUUGAGACUAGAACAAGAUCGAAAAUGGAGAGAGAGGAUGGGAUCAUCAGAAGCAAAAUCGCCACCUUGCCAUGCUCUUGGAGUAGGAUUAGAAAGACAUACUAUUUCUGGGACACCCACAGAGAUGGGUAAUUUAGGACUUCACAAAGGCUCUGCCUUCCAGGGAUCAAAACCUCUGGGUGUGUUACCAGGAAGAGUGGGGCCAGAAAACAAGGGCCUUCCGCCUCGCCUUCGCUACGGAGGGACACUACACCCUCCUUUCAGCACAGUACAUGCAAGUCCGCUGGCGGCAGAGAGCAGAAGGAGGCCUUUAGCCUGGGGUUCUGCUUGGACGGAUGCUGUAGUGGAAAAGCAACCUGUUGUAGGUUUGGAACUGAGAAAAGAACCGGAAAAAGAACCCACCUGUGUCGUGAUGAACCCCUACCCAGAGAUGCCCCCUAAGGAGGUAGACAUCGGGUUGCCACAAACUCAGGAAUCAGAUGAAGCCAAGAAUACAGAGCCUCUAAUAGGUUUAGUAAGAGAACCUUCUGAAUGUCCAUUUGCCCAACAACCGGAAGAGAAAAAGGAGCCCGGCAGCACCGAACCCGGAGUGGAGCCUCCAGGGAACAUCAGGCCCAUAUACUCAGGGAAGUUCUUUGAUCGGGUGCCUUGCUGGCCAAGUGCAGGAAAAGUUAAGCCAGUUGGAUACAGAGUUGCAACCUGUUUGACUGAGAAGCUUCCCAGGCUAAUGACUCCCCCAGAGGCAAAGAAGUAUUUCAACUUCAGAUAUCCACCUGCUGGAGCAGAAAGAGUAUUUUAUGGCAGAGCAAAUGACCCCCAAAUUGCACCUUAUUUGACACAUGGACUAAGAUCUAAAAUCUCAAUACCGAUGGGAUCAUUGAUAAACCCACAGCCCAUUACCACGUUUCAACAGAAAAUUAAAGACAAAAAAGAAUCUAUAUAUUUUAGCCAUCAACGAGCACCAUUGGGAAAAUCUCAUGAUCAAACACCAGGAUUGCCAAAAGGAAUGGAUGUGAUCAACACAACAUUAGGGACACCGACUAUCAGAGAACUGUCUGUUCGUGACACUGUGAAUCCAUCGAAAUCCUUCGAAGAUGUGCUUAAAGAAGGACAGGAAGGACAUGAUUUGUACACUGUCUCUCACAAUGAUUAUUUUGCAGGAGAAGCAAAGAAUCGAAAAUAUAACCCGGCAAGCUUCCAUAGGUUUAACUUGUAUGGAAUCCCAACACCUCACUUUAAUGAUGGGCGCACCAUGGCUAAAGCUUUACAUUGGCUCCAUGAACUACAAAUGGAAAGAGGAGCGAAAAUUGUAUCCAAAAGAGUUGAUGACUUCAAAGAGAAAUUUCAACACAAACUUGGAAAAGUUUUAGACCCCAUUGCAGAAACUAUGAAUGUUCCCCCAGGUCACACAUUUGGAAGUUGCCUCCAUCCUGAGGAAUAUGGAGCUGGCGAUCUCAUCCAUUAUAGAAGCCCAGAUGAAUAUCUUCGUGGGAAGGACCACCAGAGAGCCGUGGUUGCAGCUGCUCGCCACCACUUGAAGAAAUUUAAUCACCAGAACUUUGACACUUUGCAGAGCCUACACUCAUCUUACCUUUGCUUCCUGGUUGGCAGAAGGGAGAUGGGGUGAUUGACAGAGCAGAACUUCAUGAAGCUUGUGUCCAAGCCAACCUGCAUCUAGACAAGAUGCUCCUGGACCAUCUGUUUGACUACUGUGACGUGGACCAGGAUGGCUUGAUCAACUACCUGGAAUUUGCCAAUUUCCUUAACUGGAAAGACAGAAUACCUCUCAAAGAGCAUGAGAAGAGGGUCGUUGUUAAAGGUAAAAAACCAGACUGUGAAAACGUUACUGAUACUAGCAUGGGAGAAGCUGAACCAAGUCUCCUGAUAAAUCCUGAAGACAUUGUCCCCAAAGAACCAGGAAGUUCAGAAGAGACUCUCCGGACAAUCCAGAGACCAGGUGACAAAGUUUCUCACCAGUAUAAGACAACGUCUUCUGAGAUCAACGCUGUGGUUGGAGCUGUCCCCUCCAUGUGUCACCCCAUAUUCGGUGUUCCAACCAUUCGAUCUGACAUCUCUGCUCCCCGGAUUCGUCGAGUCAGUGACAUGAAUAACUACGGUGACGAAGGCAAUGCUUACUCUCUGCUGCACCCCUCCAUCUUCUCCCAGAAAGGUGUAUUUGAGAGAGACUUCUUCAAGACAAGGUCAAAGGAAGAGGUACAGAGAUCACCUCCAACCUUGGACUUGGCAAUGAUCACUAUUAUUUUUGUGACCACGGUUGUUGCUGUUGUCUUUUAAUUUUGUUUUUUCGAGAUGGCAUCCACUGCUUACCCCGCUCUGGCCUGGUACUCACUGUGCAGCCCAGCCCACACUGGCCUACAGGGCUUGGUGGCUUUUCUGUCUCGGCUUCCCAAAGCAUUGGGAUUGCAGACAUGAACAGACAUACUUGACUAGUGUCGUAUUGACUUGUUUUAUUUUGAGACUGAGCUUUGCUAGGUAGCCCGGGCUGAAUUUGAAGUCACGAUCCUCUUGAUUCCUCCUACUGAGUUCAGAGAUUACAUAUUGCUUCUAAUCUGAUGCACAACAUUUAUCAUCAUCAUCAUUUUUAUCAUCAUCUUGUGUAGUCCAGGCCAGCCUCUGAAUCAGCUGCAUGGCUGAGGCUGGUUUUGAACUUCUGAUCCUCUCACCUCCACCUCCUGAGUGUAGGUAUGUGCCUGGCACUUGUGGUGCUGGAGAUCAAAUCCAGGGUUUGUGCAUGAUAGGCAAGAGCUUUUUGAGGUAAGCCCCAGCCCUAGCCCCAGCCCCAGGCCAUGACUAUCAGUUUUGACUUUUCAGAAUAUAGGAUUCUUAUCUUUUUAAAUUUUUAGAUUUAUUUAAUUAUUUUAUGUAUGUGAGUACAUGAUAGCUGUCUUCAGACACACCAGAAGAGGGCAUCAGAUCCCAUUACAUAUGGUUGUGAGCCACCAUGUGGUUACUGGGAAUUAAACUCAGGACCUCUGGAAGAGCAGUCAGUGCUCUUAACCACUGAGCCAUCUCUCUAGCCCGAAUAUAGGAUUCUUGAUGAAUGAUACUUAGUUUGGUUGUAAUGUGCUUCAAAGUUUUUUUUCUUUUUCUUCCCUCAGUAUAUUAUAUAAUUCUUUCCCCCUUCAAACAGGGUCUCACUAUGUAGGCCAAGUAGGCCUUCAACUCAAGAGCAUCUUUCUGCCUCUGCCUCCCAAGUGAUGACAAGCACAGAUGACGAUGUCCACCUGCUUUUCUUCACUUACAUUUACUGAAUUUUUAUUUUGGGAGUUACAUUUUAAAAAAUAUAAUUUAUUUAUGUGUGUGUGCACAUGUGCCUAUGUAUUUCAUGUAUGCCUGAGUAUGUGUGGAUGUCAGAGGACACCUUGAGGGAGUUGGUUCUCUCCUUCUAUUAUGUGGGAUUAGAGAAUCAAAUUAAGGUCUUGGCAGCCAGCACCUUCGUACCUUUGUUUGUAUUUAAAAAUAAAAAUAAAUAAGAAUGAGAAAAGGUCUCACUCUACAGUACAGGCUUAUCUCAAACUCACUAUGUAGCCCAGGCUGGCUUUGAACUUCAACAUUCCUGCUUUAGCCUCCCAAGUGCUGGAGCUACAGGAAUGCACUCCCACAAUGCCUGAAAAGUACUACAACUUUGAUAUCUACUAAUUUCAUAUGUAUGGGCACAUAUGCAUAUGUGAACACAUGUACUUUUGUGGAGGACCAGUGACUGCCAUAUUAAAUGUUAAAAAGCUUUUUAAAAUAUAUAUUUUAUUUUAUGUACUUAAUUUUU